rnacentral:rRNA from 1 species
UAAGGAAUAUUGGUCAAUGGAGGCAACUCUGAACCAGCCAUGCCGCGUGCAGGAAGAAGGCCCUAUGGGUCGUAAACUGCUUUUGAACAAGAGAAAACCCCGGUACGUGUACUGGGUUGAUAGUAUUGUUAGAAUAAGCAUCGGCUAACUUCGUGCCAGCAGCCGCGGUAAGACGAAGGAUGCAAGCGUUAUCCGGAUUCAUUGGGUUUAAAGGGUGCGUAGGCGGACUGAUAAGUCCAGUGGUGAAAUCUCUCGGCUUAACCGAGAAACUGCCAUUGAUACUGUUAGUCUAGAGUACAGAUGAUGUGGGCGGAAUAUGACAUGUAGUGGUGAAAUACUUAGAUAUGUCAUAGAACACCGAUUGCGAAGGCAGCUCACAAAACUGUAACUGACGCUGAGGCACGAAAGUGCGGGGAUCAAACAGGAUUAGAUACCCGUGUAGUCCCUGAGCGGGCUGGCAAGGCGCAU